UACGUAGGGUGCGAGCGUUAAUCGGAAUUACUGGGCGUAAGCGUGCGCAGGCGGUUCGUUGUGUCGGCGGUGAAAGCCCCGGGCUUAACCUGGGAAUGGCCGUCGAAACUGGCGAACUGGAGUGUGGCAGAGGGGGUGGAAUUCCGCGUGUAGCAGUGAAAUGCGUAGAGAUGCGGAGGAACACCGAUGGCGAAGGCAGCCCCUGGGCUGACACUGACGCUCAGGCACGAAAGCGUGGGGAGCAAACAGG
rnacentral:rRNA from 1 species